rnacentral:tRNA from 1 species
GCCGACGUAGCUCAAUUGGUAGAGCAGGCGACCUGUAAUCGCCCGGUUCCCGGUCCAAGUCCGGGCGUCGGCUCCA